AUCGGGGGGCUCGGCCCGAUCCUCCCACCCUUUGUGUACCUACCUCUGUUGCUUUGGCGGGCCGCGGUCCUCCGCGGCCGCCCCCCUCCCCGGGGGGUGGCCAGCGCCCGCCAGAGGACCAUCAAACUCCAGUCAGUAAACGAUGCAGUCUGAAAAACAUUUAAUAAACUAAAACUUUCAACAACGGAUCUCUUGGUUCUGGCAUCGAUGAAGAACGCAGCGAAAUGCGAUAAGUAAUGUGAAUUGCAGAAUUCAGUGAAUCAUCGAAUCUUUGAACGCACAUUGCGCCCUUUGGUAUUCCGAAGGGCAUGCCUGUUCGAGCGUCAUUACAACCCUCAAGCUCUGCUUGGUAUUGGGCACCGUCCUUUGCGGGCGCGCCUCAAAGACCUCGGCGGUGGCGUCUUGCCUCAAGCGUAGUAGAACAUACAUCUCGCUUCGGAGCGCAGGGCGUCGCCCGCCGGACGAACCUUCUGAACUUUUCUCAAGGUUGACCUCGGAUCAGGUAGGGAUACCCGCUGAACUUAAGCAUAUCAAUAAGCGGAGGAA
rnacentral:rRNA from 1 species